rnacentral:misc_RNA from 1 species
AACGCACAUUGCGCCCUUUGGUAUUCCAAAGGGCAUGCCUGUUCGAGCGUCAUUUGUACCCUCAAGCUUUGCUUGGUGUUGGGCGUUUUUUGUCUUUGGCCACCAAAGACUCGCCUUAAAAGGAUUGGCAGCCGGCCUACUGGUUUCGCAGCGCAGCACAUUUUUGCGCUUGCAAUCAGCAAAAGAGGACGGCACUCCAUCAAGACUCCUUCUUACGUUUGACCUCGGAUCAGGUAGGGAUACCCGCUGAACUUAA